rnacentral:rRNA from 1 species
AUUGAACGCUGGCGGCAUGCCUUACACAUGCAAGUCGAACGGUAACAGGUCUUCGGAUGCUGACGAGUGGCGAACGGGUGAGUAAUACAUCGGAACGUGCCUAGUAGUGGGGGAUAACUACUCGAAAGAGUGGCUAAUACCGCAUGAGAUCUACGGAUGAAAGCAGGGGAUCGCAAGACCUUGUGCUACUAGAGCGGCCGAUGGCAGAUUAGGUAGUUGGUGGGAUAAAAGCUUACCAAGCCGACGAUCUGUAGCUGGUCUGAGAGGACGAUCAACCACACUGGAACGGGGACACGGCCAGACUCCUACGGGAGGCAGCAGUGGGGAAUGUUGGACAAUGGGCGCAAGCCUGAUCCAGCAAUGCCGCGUGCAGGAUGAAGGCCUUCGGGUUGUAAACUGCUUUUGUACGGAACGAAAAGCCCUGGGUUAAUACCCUGGGGUCAUGACGGUACCGUAAGAAUAAGCACCGGCUAACUACGUGCCAGCCGCCGCGGUAAUAC